rnacentral:rRNA from 1 species
AUUGAACGCUGGCGGCAGGCCUAACACAUGCAAGUCGAACGAGUGGCAGACGGGUGAGUAAUGUCUGGGACACUGCCUGAUGGAGGGGGAUAACUACUGGAAACGGUAGCUAAUACCGCAUAACCUCGGAUGUGCCCAGAUGGGAUUCGCGAGUAGGUGGGGUAAAGGCUCACCUAGGCGACGAGCCCUAGCUGGUCUGAGAGGAUGACCAGCCAAACUGGAACUGAGACACGGUCCAGACUCCUACGGGAGGCAGCAGUGGGGAAUAUUGCACAAUGGGCGCAAGCCUGAUGCAGCCAUGCCGCGUGUAUGAAGAAGGCCUUCGGGUUGUAAAGUACUUUCAGCGGGGAGGCGUUACCCGCAGAAGAAGCACCGGCUAACUCCGUGCCAGCAGCCGCGGUAAUUC